ensembl:lncRNA
UGUCAAACAGGUAAAAAAAAAACAAGGGGUCUAAAAUAGUUCCUUGUGGUUAUAUCCACUGGUCGGUGACCACAGUGCAUCACAUGAAAAUUGGUUAACUAUCUGACUCAAUAUAGCUACACAAGAACUUUCCAACAGAGGUGCUCGGUCAGAAAAAAGCAUGCGGCCUGUCUGCAAACUGUAGAGAGGAGACGUGCAGUUGCAUGAUGAGAGCAUUUGACCAGAAUGUACAGAUAAGGCUUCUAGAAGUACUCCAUUUUUAAGGACACCUCACACUUCUGAUGGCCAUUAAUGGUCGUGUUGCAAACAGAAAUGCUGCUUAUUCCUCUCGUGCUGGUGUUUGCAGGAGUUUCUCAUGUUUUAUCUACAGAAACCAAGACUGUCUGUGAUGCGACCCAGUUUGCUACAUGUCAUGGGACCCUGGGAGAACCUACAUAUUUACAGUUGCUGCCAAGUGCCGUUGGACAUCAAUUACUUUGCAAGAAAAUGACUCAGAAUGGUCUUACAGGGGUUUUUAGAUUAAAAAAGAACCAGACUGUGUUCUUCAAUGAGUCCUUCACCUCACCUAUACAGGACCGAUGGCACUUUGUUGCUGCAAACGGUACAAUAAUGAUCAACCCAGCAACAAAGAGAGACUCAGGAACAUACAGAGUAGAGAUCCACAAUGAAGAAACAGGGGCGCUUGUGGCAAAUACCACAAUACAGCUGAUUAUUUUGGGUACACACAGUACUGUGAGAUCCAUUUUGACUGACAGGACCGACAACCCCAACAAGAUGGAAACACGUGUUUACUCGGCCCGUUCUGUAUCAGCUUCACUUGGCGUGGUCCUGCUGUGUGUGACUGUGUAUGGGGGAGUAUACUACGUCUGCCAGAAGAGGACACACACACCCAAACCAGAGCUGGAGUGCUGUGUGUAUGUUCAGGUUCAACGAGGACAGUGAGAGGAGGCUGGGUAUUGUUCUUCAAUCAUUCGAUGGCUCAGAUUUGUCUAAGAUUUUCUCUGCAUAGCUUUUUUCCGGCUCCACCCCGCCCCAAUACCAUGUAUUAUUCACAAUUAGCCUACCCCAGCCUCUUUUGUGGAUGCUAUAUUCUGGAUAUGCUCUUUUUCUCACUGUUAUAUUAAACUGUGGUC